UACUCCUACGGGAGGCAGCAGUAGGGAAUAUUGCACAAUGGAGGAAACUCUGAUGCAGCGACGCCGCGUGAGUGAUGAAGGCCUUCGGGUCGUAAAGCUCUGUCGCAAGGGAAUAACACAAUGAAUGUACCCUGUAAGAAAGGAUCAGCUAACUUCGUGCCAGCAGCCGCGGUAAU
rnacentral:rRNA from 1 species